GAUGAACGCUAGCUACAGGCUUAACACAUGCAAGUCGAGGGGCAGCAUGGUCUUAGCUUGCUAAGGCCGAUGGCGACCGGCGCACGGGUGAGUAACACGUAUCCAACCUGCCGUCUACUCUUGGACAGCCUUCUGAAAGGAAGAUUAAUACAAGAUGGCAUCAUGAGUCCGCAUGUUCACAUGAUUAAAGGUAUUCCGGUAGACGAUGGGGAUGCGUUCCAUUAGAUAGUAGGCGGGGUAACGGCCCACCUAGUCUUCGAUGGAUAGGGGUUCUGAGAGGAAGGUCCCCCACAUUGGAACUGAGACACGGUCCAAACUCCUACGGGAGGCAGCAGUGAGGAAUAUUGGUCAAUGGACGAGAGUCUGAACCAGCCAAGUAGCGUGAAGGAUGAAGGUCCUACGGAUUGUAAACUCCUUUUAUAAGGGGAUAAAGUUGGCCAUGUAUGGCCAUUUGCAGGUACCUUAUGAAUAAGCAUCGGCUAAUU
rnacentral:rRNA from 1 species